GAUUGGUCCGUGAUCUACGUUAGAAGAAAAAUGAAAAUAUUAGUAGUUGAAAGGUCUUACAUUGACUACAGACUCCAACGAACGUGCAUAGCAUUCGUUAGUCCUAACUCAUCCUUUGCAAGCCUCCAUAUACCAAAAACUGCAUUUUAAACCACAAGAACAAAGACUUGGUUAUCUGGAUACCAAAAGGCGAAGUAAAACCCAACUUUUUGCACCACAAUCUUGUCUAAUUAGAGAAAGCCUGGGGAAGUAAAGAUACAUUUCAGUAAUUUCAAAUCAUGGUUCAUGGAUUUGAGUUGAAUAUUGUCAAUGAAAAAAUAUAGAAAGCAGUACCCUGAAAUGAUCAGAGUAGUACCCCCUGAAGAGAUGAACAGCAUCAGAGAGGACUGUUGCCCAAGACGUAGAAGCAAACCUA
rnacentral:lncRNA from 1 species